rnacentral:lncRNA from 1 species
CUUAUGUUGCCACUGUUCAAAUCCGAAUUAAAAACAAUUUUUUGUCUCAGUGGGAAAUUAAAUUUUGAAAAUCGAGGCUGGUUUAUGAUAUUUGUAAGGGCCCCAUUUUUUCUGGCCCAAAUAAGAAACCAAAAAUAUAAAUAAAAAAAUAAAAAAAUCAAAUAAAAAGUCCAAGUCCAAUUACAAAAAACGGCCCAAAUACAAAAAAUCCCAAGGCCCAAAAUAUAACCUAACCUUAAAACCUAAUAACCCAGGCCCAAACUACCAAUAGUCCACAACCUUAAGUUUUCCGAAAGCUAAAAAAAAC